GAACCUGCGGAGGGAUCAUUACCGAGUUUACAACUCCCAAACCCCUGUGAACAUACCUUUAUGUUGCCUCGGCGGAUCAGCCCGCGCCCCGUAAAACGGGACGGCCCGCCGCAGGAACCACAAAACUCUGAUUUUAGUGUAACUUCUGAGUCUAAAAAACAAAUAAAUCAAAACUUUCAACAACGGAUCUCUUGGUUCUGGCAUCGAUGAAGAACGCAGCAAAAUGCGAUAAGUAAUGUGAAUUGCAGAAUUCAGUGAAUCAUCGAAUCUUUGAACGCACAUUGCGCCCGCCAGUAUUCUGGCGGGCAUGCCUGUUCGAGCGUCAUUUCAACCCUCAAGCCCCCGGGUUUGGUGUUGGGGAUCGGGCUGUACUCCAGCCCGGCCCCGAAAUCUAGUGGCGGUCUCGCUGCAGCCUCCAUUGCGUAGUAGCUAACACCUCGCAACUGGAACGCGGCGCGGCCAAGCCGUUAAACCCCCAACUUCUGAAUGUUGACCUCGGAUCAGGUAGGAAUACCCGCUGAACCUUAAGCAUAUCAAUAAGCGGGAGG
rnacentral:rRNA from 1 species